CCUUGGAGAUAUUCGAAAGAUGACAGGACACUGUCCUGAGCAGCCUGCUCCAGCUGACCCUGCUCUGAGCAGGUGGUGGGACUGGGCAAUCUCCAGAGAUGUUUGCUGACCUCAGCCACUCUGUGAUUCUUUGAAACAGCACUCCCGGAAAUCCUGCUUAGCUACUGACAGGUUUGGGUGGUUUGGAGAUGUCAUCCAAGUCUAAGAGAAAUGGAGUUCCAUGGAAAUUAAUUAGCAAGUGCUCCUUUGUCUGAAUAGAUCCCAGACUCAUUCCCUUCCUUACUGCGAGACCAACCGUGCGCUCAGUUCUCCCCAUCUGAUCUAGUACCUGCUUCACAAGGAAGAGACUCAGAUCACCUUCUGUCCGGAGAGACCUGGGAACAGUCAAUACGUCACCUAGUGCCACCACAGCAGAGGCAGCUUGGCAGUACGGCAGCAUCCAAACCCAUGGGGAACGGGGCUGAAUGCAAAGCCCUU
rnacentral:lncRNA from 1 species